GGCUAGCAUUGGUUGAAAAUAAUUCACACACAGAAACAUGUGAACUGAUGCACUUUGGGAUGUUAUUUUUGUUGACAGUGUUACUGGUGUGGGAGCUGAAGCUGUUGUGACAACCUGUCUAUAUAAAUUAUAGCAUUCUCUAUGCAGGAAGAGUGUUACUGAUGUGUGAGCUGAAGCUGUUCUGACAACCUGUCUGUAUAAAAUACCUUCUCUAUGCAGACCAAAUCUGGCGUUCUCCUGUUGUUUUUCGCCAUUUUCAACACAACGCAGACCAGAGAAGCAUACGGUUACACUGGUGCCGUGACACAUGCAGUUGUUCAGCGGCUGCCAAACUACCGAGGUUGCUGCACAGACUAGAAUACGUUGGACUUCACCGCUUUUCCACUUUAUCAAGGAGACGUCAGACUUCAUUGCUUUUCUAAUUCAUGGAGGAGACAUUGUUUUUCAGUGCUUUCGCUUCACCGAGGGGUGGCAUGGACUGAGGUUAUGGUACUCAUAUCUUCAAGAUUAUAGAUGUUCUAAGUGAACAUUGAUUUGAUUUGAUAGUUCCUAAAAUGUUUAAAGUAAUUUGUUCGAUUUAGUAGAGUUCUAAAGUCAACAGUGCAAAAGUGUAAUAUAAUUUGUUCAGUUUUGAAUGCAA